rnacentral:rRNA from 1 species
AACGUAGGUGGCGAGCGUUAUCCGGAUUCACUGGGCGUAAAGAGCUUGUAGGCGGCGUCAUAAGUUGGACGUGAAAACUCCGGGCUUAACUUGGAGAGGCCGUUCAAUACUGUGAGGCUAGAGGGUGUCAGAGGGAAGUAGAAUUCCUGGUGUAGCAGUGAAAUGCGUAGAUAUCAGGAGGAAUACCCGUGGCGAAGGCGGCUUCCUGGGGCACCACUGACGCUGAGAAGCGAAAGCUAGGGGAGCAAACGGG